rnacentral:rRNA from 1 species
UACGUAGGGUGCGAGCGUUGUCCGGAUUUAUUGGGCGUAAAGAGCUCGUAGGCGGUUUGUCGCGUCUGCCGUGAAAGUCCGGGCUCAACUCCGGAUCUGCGGUGGUACGGGCAGACUAGAGUGAUGUAGGGGAGACUGGAAUUCUGGUGUAGCGGUGAAAUGCGCAGAUAUCAGAGGAACACCGGUGGCGAAGGCGGGUCUCUGGGCCGUAACUGACGCUGAGGAGCGAAAGCAUGGGGAGCGAACAGG